AUGUUUAACAUUUUUUUUUCUAAAUAUUUGUGGGGAAUUUUUAAGAAAAGAUUGAGAAAUUUGCCAUGGUUUGAGAUGAUCAGCAUUGCUAUUUCACCAAUAGGGAGUCAGUUAAUUAUGAACACAUUCUGGGGAAGGGCAUCUGAACAUACCCUUCAUGAGCAUGUGGAAUGGUGGAAUAGAGCAGAGCCACCUCUGUGUCUCCACUUACUGUUUCAGAUUCUGGAGAGGCAUGAUGUUUCUGGAGCAGCUUCAGAGUAUUAUAAUGAAAUUCAGAAAACUGUGUUGCUGCCCCCUUUGGAAGCUGUGAAUAUCAGCAAAAGGACAGAUAAGAGUAUCCCUCCUCAUUUAUUGCAUAUUUGAAUAUCAAAAUGGCUAAGCAAUGGAUACCAUGCAAGAAGGAACACCAAAGGAAAAAAAAAAUUGGGGAAGUAAAACCCAAAUGAGGACCAUGACUCAAGACAUGGAAAUGGAAAGAGAAAAGAGAUAUCUGGGGGAACGCAGGAGUCCAGAUUUCCCCUGUGAGGGGUAGAGAGAAGGCUAAUGAGGAAAGGAUCAAGUUUGUGGUGUGGACCCAAAUUUAAAAACUAGAUGUUGGAUGGGAGAGAAAGAAAACAUCAUAAAUAUUUUCCUCAUUUCAAGGUAAUGUUUUAGCUAAAUUCUAUUUGUAAAGGAGUGGGGGACAUAUCUGUUUCAGAAUUGUCCAUAAUUUGAAAUGUAUUUGUGUGAACUUGAAAAUUUAGAAAAAUUAACACUAUUUACAUCUAUGAGGAUCAAUAUUUCAUUGAAUCAGUCUUGGCCUUGACAGUCCAUGGGCUGGACCAAAUCAUCAAUGUUUCUCAUGAAAGUUUUUUGUCAUGUAAUUGUCAUGGGAUUAUUUUUAGGUGCCUAAGUAUCUUGCAGUAAACUUAAGAAAUUUAUGGUCUUAUUUUGGGAUUUUUAUAAACCAGGACAGGAGUUCAAAGCUUAGAAAUAAAUUUGCAAAAUAAUUAUCAAGCUGUGACUAUGUUAGGUGCUAUUGGAACUGCAGAAGAGUUGGAAGGUAUUAUCCCUUUACUAAAAGCAUGCAUAGGUAGUUAAUGAAGGUAAAAUUUUGGAAAAUAAAUAGCACUUUACAAGGAAUUAAGAGUAAUGAGGAGGUACAGAGAUUGGGACAAGAGAAGUCUUUCAUUCUGAUUUAACCACUUCCAAGCUCAAUAGCCUUUAGUGUCACUUAGGUUCUAUAUAAUGAAUAUAAUGAUGUCACUCUCACAGAAUGGAUGCAAUUAUUAAAUAAGUUCAGACAUCAAAUGUACCAUAGUUCCAAGCAUCACACAGCAGUCACACACACACACACACACACA
rnacentral:lncRNA from 1 species